GGUGAACCUGCAGAAGGAUCAUUA
rnacentral:ncRNA from 2 species